rnacentral:lncRNA from 1 species
AACAGAAGUCAGUAUAUUUUGGCAUAUGGAGGUUUUUAAUGUGAGAAAUUAGAAGUUUAUGUAAGUUUUUCAAAAGUCUCUCAGCACGCAGCACGGAAGUGAGUGGCUUUAAAGAGCUCAUCUAGUUGCUGGCUGGCCUCUCAACGCUCUCUCGGCGGUUCCCUGAGACCAUCUCAGCCAGCAGGACUGGUGUUGAUGAUUCUCAAGAAGCUCAUCUGGAAGCUGCUUUGAAAUUCAUAUCCGCCCACGACUGCAUCCAAAAAUUAUGGCGUCUCCUUCACUUCCUCCUUCCAAAUCUCGUGAGAAUCUUGAUGGACAGUGAAGUAACUCUGAAAUUGCAAGGGAUUAAGAUGGCAUGCAAAUGGAGAUUAUAUUUACGUUUAAAAACAAAGAGACACAGUGUGAAGUAUUACACCGUCCACCUCCACCCAGUGCCUUACGCCAUACUUCGUUAAGGAAAUCUUAUAGGAUUUAAGCAAUCUGAUGGAAAAAACUUGAUAAAACAACUUCCAUCAAAAUAUUUUUCCAAUGACCUCCACGUAAACCAACAUGACAGGCGAAACACCUUGCCUUUCUCUUUCUUCCUUGAAAAACACAAAUGGAUUCCAAUAUCAGAUGAGUUGGUCUGGAGGAGCUAUCUUCGCAAUCUUCGCAUGACUGAUUCAUCUCAUCACUGAAGACUCAGCUCAAAAAUCACCUUCUCUCCAUAGAGAGGAUGUCUAUAACCAUCCAUUUAAAAUACUUUCCCCCAUAUAUAAACAUUACUAUCUAUCUUGUAGUCCUUGUUUAUUUUUCUGAGUCAAAUUUAGUAACAAGUGAAAUUAAUUUGUUUAUUUGUGAGAAAUACACUGAGGGAAAUGGUGAAGACAUGGCCUAACUAAGGUGGAGGCCUCAACAGAGGGCACUAGUAGCUAUCGCACAAAUCACAGAAUUUCUCAGGAAGCCCACAAAGACCCUGAAGAACCAAAACGGCAACUGAAG